AUUUGAUCUAUGCCGAAUAAAAAUACAAUAUUAAUAAAAUAAAGGGGGAGAAGAUGUAAAACAAUAUUAGAAAGACAACUAUAACCUUGGACAAAAUAUAAAAUAAAAUAACGUACACAGCUAAAUAUAAUAAUUUUGUAGUAAGGAGUACAUGGAGUACGGAAAUAUCAUUUUACAAAAAAAAAUAAUUUGUUGUUCAUAGUACGAGAACAGAAUUAAAAAUUUAUCGUGAUACUAAAUACUUAAGGUAAAUACUCAAAGGUGAGACACAAAAUAAGUAAACAUUGAAUAACAAACAUGCAUUACAAAUUGUGUCAACAGAUCAAAUUAACAGGAAAGUAGGAUUUGAGAGUACUCGCAAUUCCUGAAAGCUAGUUAAAAGCCAAAACAAUUAAUAAUAAAAACCCAUGCAUCAGAGACUAAAAUCAACUAAAACACAUCCCAGCGAUUAAGUCUUUUAAUGACAUGACUUGUGCAAUGCCAAAAUUAAAGUAUCGACUGGCAGUAGUAUGGUUAGGAUUUCACCUUAUAAUAAAUGUGUAUGAUUUUAUGUAAUCUCUAUAUAGAAAAUGAACGUGGAUGUGUAUUUAUACAUCCGAAAAAAAAAACAUUUGAAAAGAAUACAAAUUUAGUUAUGUUUUAAUUUGUUGAUGACAAAAUUGAUAUUUGUGCCAAUGUUAACAAUAUUCAAAGAUAUUAUUACAACAUUUAUAAAAUAACCUUUACUAAUGAGUUUGUUAAAAGGUUCGAUGAGUUAUAUGUGUCCAUUUCAUGGUUCCAGUUCCAGAACACCUCAUUUCACUCUUGAAUGUAAGAAAUAAAGAGAGAGACAAAAUAUUAAAGGGACAAUCAAAUAUAAUACGUCAAAGAAAAAUGAACAACACCAUGACAAAAAAGAAAAUGGACAAACAGACUUAAAAACAAGAAAGACACCACAACUAGAUAUAAAGAAGAAAACAAGAGUCAAAAAGGAGAAGUCAUGACCCACCUGCACCAGGAACGCCCGAUGUCAAAAACAUGAAUGCGAGAUACAUAAAUACCCUCUCACGUCAACAUUCAUACGACCAAAAGAUAAAUAAUAGCAUGAAGACAAAUAUUUUUAAUUCAAUCAUUAUUAUGUGUAUUAACAUAUUCAUUUAGCGAAGAUUUUAUGUAAAUUUAGUGAUAUACCUUUAUCAUCAAAUGAAUAUAGCACUCUAACUAAAACAGCUUUGUUGGCUUAAAUUGUGUCAAAAGGAAAAUAAUGUUUUAAUUGUUUAUGGAAAUUAAAUUUCAAAUGCUUUUUUUAGUGUACGACACUGUUACAGAUACUCCAGUGACUGAGUCCUCAGGAAAUCAAUCUGUAGCUGGUGUAGUCGCUGGGUUAGUUAUUGCCUUGAUCGUGAUUGUUUUUAUUGCGUAUUUUGGAUGGAAGAAAUACAGGAUAUACAUUUAUAAAGUAAGAAGGGAGGAAAAAUUGCAGAAAUUAAGCGAAAUGCAGAAAAGAGAGGAAAGAACAAGCUGGUCGAGUUUGCAUUAUCAAGUAGACAACUUGAGAAAUUGAACUGUAAUUGCUAUAUUUGUUUUAGAUGCUUUGUGUGCCCAUAAAGUAAUAGAACAACAAAAUAUAAUUCAAACAUAUAAAACUUUCCUUAAUGAAAAAAUAAAUAAAAACAAAAGUUAUUAUAGAAUUUUAAGAUUAAAAAAAAAGUAAAUAUAAUUUAUCUAAUUUUAAUCUAAAAGUUUCCAUUUAAAAUACAUUUUGAUUUGAUAAAAAGCAAUAUAGAUGAAAAGGAAAAAAAGGCUUUUCUUUUCUAUCAAACAAUUUUGUAUAGCAGAAUAUAUAAAAUAUAUGUAGUGUGGUUAAUCUGGUGGUUAAAUUAACUUAACCAGCAUACCAUCUGUGUUAAUUUGAUAAUAUGAGUAGACACCAACUGUUCAGGGUCAAGUUCAAAAUUCUUCAUUUGAUCUUUAGCAAAUUGAGUGUACAGGGGGACAAUAAACUAACAUUAGAUGCACAAAUAAUGACAAAAUACAAAAGAAAUACAUACAAAUCGUGCAUAUGAUAUCAUGCUUCAACAAUAUAUUUAAGUUUUUUAAAAACACAAUCUGAUACAUGUUUUUUUCUAAAAAAUACUUCGAGAUCUUUUUUCAGGAACAAAGACAAAUUUUUUUAUAGUCGAACAUGACAUAAUAUUCAUUUUUAUCUCACUUGAAUUUGUACUGUAGAAACUAGGUACCUAUUUUUCUAAGUUGUUAAAAUGGUGGAAAUAUACAUGGAGAUAAAUAGUGAGAUUCAUUCCAAAUUCCGUUUUUGUAAAGGUAACAAAAUGUAUUCUCCUUAGGUAUCCCGGUCCAUCUUCCAGUUUCUAUAGUACUUGCACAUCUCAAUUAAGUAAUAAAUACCCUUUUUAUGGUCCUCAAGAUUCAUUAAUAUUUUUCAAAUUCAAACUUUGUGUUUGAAUAGAGAACAUAAUUCUCCCCUUGCAGAAUUUUGAAUAUGCGAUACCAAAUGUUGAAUGAAUUGUUCGGUCAGUUUUUGUCUUACAGAUCAUUAGUGUGGUUUUUAUCCAUAUGUACCUGAUAACUCAAAACAAACCUUAAUCCACAUUCGUCCAAAAUAGAUUUUAUGUAUGAAAUCCAUACGAACUUUUGAGGAUUUGUUUUAUGUAAUUCAAACAAUAAUUUGUACAUAAUUGUUGACAACUUGUGAUCAUUUACCAAUACAUUAUUCCAA